rnacentral:rRNA from 1 species
AUGCUGGAUCCUUCUUGCCGGCCGGCGGCCAUAUGCUUCUGGAUCUACAUGCACUGCCUCUCAUCUCCAUGGACUAUGGUGGCCGGCAUUUUCCUCUCGUCGUUGGUUCCGUCAACAAGCCGACGGCCACGAAUUAAAGAGCAUGUCUUUUGGGAUGAGGCUUGUUGCCAUGGCCAGGCGGGUUGCCGCCACCGCCACCACCACCGCCAGCGCCAGCCCAUGGGGGUUUCACCGCUACUCAUCCAGCGCUACCGGUCUCAUGCACCCACGGUUUGGACGGAUUGGCUCAGAUGGCCUUCCUGA